ensembl:lncRNA
CCAUGGGAUUCUCCAGGCUAGAAUGCUGGAGUGGGUUGCCAUUUCCUCUUCCAGACCCAGGGAUCGAACCCAUGUCUCUUGGGUCUCCUGAGUUGGCAGCGGUUCUUUACUGCUAGCACCCCUGGUUAUUCAGAUGGUAAAGAUUUCAUCUACAAUGCAGGAGGCCUGGAUUCUAUCCCCAGGUCAGGAAGAUCUUCUGGAGGAGGGCAUGGGUACCCACUCCAGUAUUCUUGCCUGGGAAUUCCAUGCACAGAAGAGCCUGGCGGGCUACAGUCCAUGAGGUCGCAAAACAGUCAGGACACGACUGAGCGACUAACACUUUCACUUUCCGUUCAGUGCCUCCUGGGAAGCCCCAGAGUGCCUAGAUACAACGAAUAAACCACUCCCUGGGGGCUGCAGAAGUGAUGUGCAAGCAGAAACAGAGGAUACUUGCUUUACCGUAUUGGUUUGGUUUCUGCCAAACUUGUAGGAGGGCAUGGCAACCCACUCCAGUAUUCUCGCGUG